CCUACGGGAGGCAGCAGUGGGGAAUAUUGCACAAUGGGGGAAACCCUGAUGCAGCGACGCCGCGUGAGUGAAGAAGUAUCUAGGUAUUGUAAGCUCUAUCAGCAGGGAAGAAAAUGACGGUACCUGAUUAGGAAGCCCCGGCUAACUACGUGCCAGCAGCCGCGGUAAUACGUAGGGGGCAAGCGUUAUCCGGAUUUACUGGGUGUAAAGGGAGCGUAGACGGCAGCAAAAGUCUGGAGUGAAAUGGCGGGGCUUAACCCCGGAACUGCUGUGGAAACUGUGCAGCUUGAGUGCAGGAGAGGUAAGUGGAAUUCGUAGUGUAGCGGUGAAAUGCGUAGAUAUUAGGAGGAACACCAGUGGCGAAGGCAGCUUACUGGACUGUAACUGACGUUGAGGCUCGAAAGCGUGGGUAGCGAACAGGAUUAGAUACCCUUGUAGUC
rnacentral:rRNA from 1 species